rnacentral:rRNA from 1 species
UACGUAGGGUGCAAGCGUUAAUCGGAAUUACUGGGCGUAAAGCGUGUGCAGGCGGAUAGGCAAGUUAGAUGUGAAAUCCCCGAGCUUAACUUGGGAAUUGCAUUUAAGACUGCUUAUCUAGAGUGUAUUAGAGGGGGGUGGAAUUCCACGUGUAGCAGUGAAAUGCGUAGAUAUGUGGAGGAACACCAAAGGCGAAGGCAGCCCCCUGGGAUAACACUGACGCUCAUACACGAAAGCGUGGGUAGCAAACAGG